GGUUUUAAGUAUCUGUGAACAGCCAUUUGUUAGGUUGCAGAACAAACUUGAGGCAGAGAGAGCGGAGUAUGUAUAUGUGUAUUUUGCCUGGCAGGGGGUAUGUCUUUCGCUAAGCUAUGGAGAAUGUGGAUAUUGCCUUUUCACAUCAGGCACAGUGGCAGGCCUCAGGUUUUAGAGCUUAGUUUCCAGUCAGUUCCCUUAGCCUGUGAGGUGAAGUGAUCCAUACUAAAGAGAUUUUUUAACAAUAUCCUAGCAAAUGUCAAAGAAACCACCUCUUUAUUGUUGGCAAUUAUUUUCCCCCGUGGAAUGACAUCCUGUUUUUAUAUGACAAAACAACAGGAAAGUGCAAAGUUGGCCUUCUAAACUAUGAUAGAAGAUUUGAUUGAAUGUACAAUGGCGAAGAAUAAUUAAAUACAUAGGCUUUUCCUAGGAAAUGCUAGCUUAAGUGAUAUUUUUGGGUUGUAUCACAGAACAGUAUUUCAUUUGUCUCUGUAUUAUGGUUAGCAGACAGAAUAAAACAUCUUACAUGUGCAACAUUAUUACUAGAUGUUACUUAUAAACAUGGUUUUGCAUUAGUUCAAUGAGCCGAUGUAGUGUAUAUCAGAAAUGUUUACUUUCUCCUAAAAAAAAGACGUGAUGUUCAGCAAAGGAUUUUUUUUUUUUCAUGAAUGGAAUUCAAGUGUAGGUGUCAUAAGUAAUUUAAGAAGAAAUAAAAGAUCCUAUGGAAAGGUUAUGUAGAAGGUUUACCUCAUUUGAAAGGUAAACUUGAGCUGUUUCUUAAAGUCCCCUCCUAGGGUUUGGUAAAAAACAAACAAACAAAAAACAACAACGUGAAAACUUUUCCUCUUUCCCAUUCCCAGGAUUUCCUGAAGGGUUUCCUUGUCUUUGCACCUUGCUCCUCUGAUGAUGGGGUCACUUCCCCUUACUCUGUUGCUGAGCACACACAGGAGAGGCUGCUGCGUGGGGCUGGAGUGUUUCCGCAGGUGUUCUGUGCUGGCAAACAAAGGGCUUUGCUGUCUUUAUUCCUCAGCUGCAGAGAGGUAGAUUCCUCCAACUGAAGAUCUAACUGAAAGGCUGCUUGGAAGAAUAUCAGUAACUGAAUAAGCUUAUAUAUUUCUAUGGGUGUUGCCAGGAUGCUGGCUAUAAGUAAUACAAGUGGGUAACAGCUGAAUAAAAUAAAAUUCAUUACAUAUAUUAGUUCUUAU
rnacentral:lncRNA from 1 species